UACGUAGGGCGCAAGCGUUGUCCGGAAUUAUUGGGCGUAAAGAGCUCGUAGGCGGUGUGUCGCGUCGGAUGUGAAAGCCCGGGGCUUAACCCCGGGUCUGCAUUCGAUACGGGCAGACUGGAGUGUGGUAGGGGAGAUCGGAAUUCCUGGUGUAGCGGUGAAAUGCGCAGAUAUCAGGAGGAACACCAAUGGCGAAGGCAGCUCGCUGGGACGGUACUGACGCUGAGACGCGAAAGCGUGGGGAGCGAACAGG
rnacentral:rRNA from 1 species